CAGUAUUACUGCCCCUCCCUUCUAUGGCAGCCAUACUUUGCUAGGUACCUAUGGGGAGAUCUUGGGCAAGACAGCACUUCCUGCUCCUCCCAGUAGCUGCCAGGCUUUGCUUUGUAGCUGUGCAACAUACUCAAACUCAGCAGGUUUUUCCCGUUCCCAGUGGAAAGAGUUCUUUCACUCUUCCCUCAACGCGUGUCCCUUUGCUUCUCACUGAUUAUUCCACGAGGACUGUGAUUAAGGAUAUUUCCUACAUCUCCCUUAGGAACAUACAGGAGCAAUGUGGUAAUCCUGAGAUGAAGAAAAAUGUUGCUGUUGUUUGGACAACCCCAGGGAGGAUUGACAGGGAAGAACCACACUCACCCUGGAUGCCUUAAAUGCCAGUCUCCAUGAAACCAGUCAUGAAAACUCUCCCUCCCCGACAUGCUCAGAGGGCAUUAGGAGCCAGUGUCUGGCAGCUUCUUAUCCAGCAGGACAGAUGCAGCCACGUGUUCACAAACAACACAGAGGAGAAGGUAGUUCAGGUCCAAGAGGAGGGACUCAUGACAAACAAAUGGAGAGGCCUUCUAGGAAAAGGGCACAGUGGGUGGCAACUUAACAAAAGAAGGAGAGUUGGAAUUGAGUGGCAGAGAGGGGCAGAUUGCACCAGUUGGGGGGAAAUUAAUAAAGAUUUUGAAAUGAGAAAACUCUUAAA